AAGUCGUAACAAGGUUUCCGUAGGUGAACCUGCGGAAGGAUCAUUGAUAAUUGACCAUCAAUAUGGACAAUUAAAUCCAUAUUCACCUUGUGUGCAUCUAUUGAAAUUGUGCUUUGGCGGUAUAGUUCUGAAUUUUUAAUUCAGGCAAAGAUCCUUUAUUUAAAUAAAGGUAUCUUGAGCCGCCAGAGUUUUCUUGUCUAAUCUACGCUUUUAAAUAAUUUGUCUGAAAUUUGAUUCUAAAUAAUAAUCAAAUACAACUUUCAACAACGGAUCUCUUGGCUCUC
rnacentral:misc_RNA from 1 species